CAGCUUGCUGGUGUGGAUGAGUGGCGAACGGGUGAGUAAUACGUGAGUAACCUGCCCUUGACUCUGGGAUAAGCCCGGGAAACUGGGUCUAAUACUGGAUGCUACAUGUCACCGCAUGGUGGCGUGUGGAAAGGGUUUACUGGUCUUGGAUGGGCUCACGGCCUAUCAGCUUGUUGGUGAGGUAAUGGCUUACCAAGGCGACGACGGGUAGCCGGCCUGAGAGGGUGACCGGCCACACUGGGACUGAGACACGGCCCAGACUCCUACGGGAGGCAGCAGUGGGGAAUAUUGCACAAUGGGCGAAAGCCUGAUGCAGCGACGCCGCGUGAGGGAUGACGGCCUUCGGGUUGUAAACCUCUUUCAGCAGGGAAGAAGCCACAAGUGACGGUACCUGCAGAAGAAGCGCCGGCUAACUACGUGCCAGCAGCCGCGGUAAUACGUAGGGCGCAAGCGUUGUCCGGAAUUAUUGGGCGUAAAGAGCUCGUAGGCGGUUUGUCGCGUCUGCUGUGAAAGCCCGGGGCUUAACCCCGGGUGUGCAGUGGGUACGGGCAGACUAGAGUGCAGUAGGGGAGACUGGAAUUCCUGGUGUAGCGGUGGAAUGCGCAGAUAUCAGGAGGAACACCGAUGGCGAAGGCAGGUCUCUGGGCUGUUACUGACGCUGAGGAGCGAAAGCAUGGGGAGCGAACAGGAUUAGAUACCC
rnacentral:rRNA from 1 species